ACCUUUUCACAUGGUUACAAAAACCUUUAGGCAAAAGACCUCUUCACAUGGCUAUAGAAGACCUCUUCACAUGGCUAUAGAAGACUUCAGACAAAAGUUAAGACCUUUUCACAUCGCUAUAGAGGACUCUUCAUAAAAAAGUUGAAGAGUUCACAUGCCUAUAGGAAGAUUCAUUCACAAGGACCCUUGUAAAGCUCUUGUAAGGGAAAGAAGAGGCAUCUCUUCCUCUCGUUUCGACUUCUCUCAUUUCUUUCCUCUCCAUUUCCUUUGAUAUAAAAGCUCA
rnacentral:lncRNA from 1 species